rnacentral:lncRNA from 1 species
AAAAUCAGUGAAGAUCCACGUUAUAGGCUAUAUAAUGUAACAUUAUUAAUUGGUAAUUUAAUUAUUUUUUUUUUAUUAAAAUGAGAUUUGAGUAGUCUUUGUAAAUUUUUUGGGUAAUUUUCUUACUACAAAAUGCACAAAAUUAGAAACGACAUGGAAGUUGAUAUAUGAAACUGAUAAGUACUUAUCAAAAAACAAAUUUAUAC